rnacentral:rRNA from 1 species
CCUCGAAUCAGGCGGGACUACCCGCUGAACUUAAGCAUAUCAAUAAGCGGAGGACCA